UUCUGGGUGAGGAUCCAGGGAUUUUAACCUGACCUUUCCUGUUAUCCCAGUGAGUUUUGGAGCCAUUUUUCAUGGAGCAAUGGGAAUCCUUCAGGAUUUAUUCCAUGGGAAUGUUCAGCAGCUCAGUCUAGUGAGGAUCCAGGGAUUUUAACCUGAUUUUUGCUGUUAUCCCAGUGAGUUUGGAGCCAUUUUUAUGGGAAUUCUUCAGGAUUUAUUCCCCCUCAGUGUGGGUGAGGAUCCAGGGAUUUUACCUUGACCUUUGCUGUUAUCCCAGUGAGUUUGGAGCCAUUUUCAUGG
rnacentral:lncRNA from 1 species